rnacentral:rRNA from 1 species
AUUGAACGCUGGCGGCAUGCCUUACACAUGCAAGUCGAACGGUAACAGGUCUUCGGAUGCUGACGAGUGGCGAACGGGUGAGUAAUACAUCGGAACGUGCCCGAUCGUGGGGGAUAACGAGGCGAAAGCUUUGCUAAUACCGCAUACGAUCUACGGAUGAAAGCGGGGGAUCUUCGGACCUCGCGCGGACGGAGCGGCCGAUGGCAGAUUAGGUAGUUGGUGGGAUAAAAGCUUACCAAGCCGACGAUCUGUAGCUGGUCUGAGAGGAUGAUCAGCCACACUGGGACUGAGACACGGCCCAGACUCCUACGGGAGGCAGCAGUGGGGAAUUUUGGACAAUGGGCGAAAGCCUGAUCCAGCCAUGCCGCGUGCAGGAUGAAGGCCUUCGGGUUAUAAACUGCUUUUGUACGGAACGAAAAGCCUCUUUCUAAUAAAGAGGGGUCAUGACGGUACCGUAAGAAUAAGCACCGGCUAACUACGUG